GAUGAACGCUGGCGGCGUGCCUAAUACAUGCAAGUCGAGCGAACGGACGAGAAGCUUGCUUCUCUGAUGUUAGCGGCGGACGGGUGAGUAACACGUGGAUAACCUACCUAUAAGACUGGGAUAGCUUCGGGAAACCGGAGCUAAUACCGGAUAAUAUUUUGAACCGCAUGGUUCAAAAGUGAAAGACGGUCUUGCUGUCACUUAUAGAUGGAUCCGCGCUGCAUUAGCUAGUUGGUAAGGUAACGGCUUACCAAGGCAACGAUGCAUAGCCGACCUGAGAGGGUGAUCGGCCACACUGGAACUGAGACACGGUCCAGACUCCUACGGGAGGCAGCAGUAGGGAAUCUUCCGCAAUGGGCGAAAGCCUGACGGAGCAACGCCGCGUGAGUGAUGAAGGUCUUCGGAUCGUAAAACUCUGUUAUUAGGGAAGAACAUAUGUGUAAGUAACUGUGCACAUCUUGACGGUACCUAAUCAGAAAGCCACGGCUAACUACGUGCCAGCAGCCGCGGUAAUACGUAGGUGGCAAGCGUUAUCCGGAAUUAUGGGCGUAAGCGCGCGUAGGCGGUUUUUUAGUCUGAUGUGAAAGCCCACGGCUCAACCGUGGAGGGUCAUUGGAAACUGGAAAACUUGAGUGCAGAAGAGGAAAGUGGAAUUCCAUGUGUAGCGGUGAAAUGCGCAGAGAUAUGGAGGAACGCCAGUGGCGAAGGCGACUUUCUGGUCUGUAACUGACGCUGAUGUGCGAAAGCGUGGGGACCAAACAGGAUUAGAUACCCUGGUAGUCCACGCCGUAAACGAUGAGUGCUAAGUGUUAGGGGGUUUCCGCCCCUUAGUGCUGCAGCUAACGCAUUAAGCACUCCGCCUGGGGAGUACGACCGCAAGGUUGAAACCCAAAGGAAUUGACGGGGACCCGCACAAGCGGUGGAGCAUGUGGUUUAAUUCGAAGCAACGCGAAGAACCUUACCAAAUCUUGACAUCCUUUGACAACUCUAGAGAUAGAGCCUUCCCCUUCGGGGGACAAAGUGACAGGUGGUGCAUGGUUGUCGUCAGCUCGUGUCGUGAGAUGUUGGGUUAAGUCCCGCAACGAGCGCAACCCUUAAGCUUAGUUGCCAUCAUUAAGUUGGGCACUCUAAGUUGACUGCCGGUGACAAACCGGAGGAAGGUGGGGAUGACGUCAAAUCAUCAUGCCCCUUAUGAUUUGGGCUACACACGUGCUACAAUGGACAAUACAAAGGGCAGCGAAACCGCGAGGUCAAGCAAAUCCCAUAAAGUUGUUCUCAGUUCGGAUUGUAGUCUGCAACUCGACUACAUGAAGCUGGAAUCGCUAGUAAUCGUAGAUCAGCAUGCUACGGUGAAUACGUUCCCGGGUCU
rnacentral:rRNA from 1 species